rnacentral:rRNA from 1 species
UACGUAGGGUGCAAGCGUUGUCCGGAAUUAUUGGGCGUAAAGAGCUCGUAGGCGGUUUGUUGCGUCGGCUGUGAAAUCCCGAGGCUCAACCUCGGGUCUGCAGUCGAUACGAGCAAACUAGAGUGUUGCAGGGGAGACUGGAAUUCCUGGUGUAGCGGUGAAAUGCGCAGAUAUCAGGAGGAACACCGGUGGCGAAGGCGGCGACCUGGGUAGAUACUGACGCUGAGGUGCGAAAGCUAGGGGAGCAAACAGG